rnacentral:rRNA from 1 species
UACGAAGGGUGCAAGCGUUACUCGGAAUUACUGGGCGUAAAGCGUGCGUAGGCGGUUUGUUAAGUCCGUUGUGAAAGCCCUGGGCUCAACCUGGGAAUUGCAGUGGAUACUGGCGAGCUAGAGUGCGGUAGAGGAUGGUGGAAUUCCCGGUGUAGCGGUGAAAUGCGUAGAGAUCGGGAGGAGCACCCGUGGCGAAGGCGGCCAUCUGGACCAGCACUGACGCUGAGGCACGAAAGCGUGGGGAGCAAACAGG